AGAUUCGAACCUGCAGCAGGUUCGGGUCGAACGCAGUGAGACAACGGAGCCGCUCGCGGCGACGGCCCGAAGGGCGAGCGAAGCGAGUCAUCCUGCACGACCCACCA
rnacentral:sRNA from 1 species